GUAUCACAAGUGCCAGGUGUCGUCCCCUCCCACUGUGCCUCUCUCUCUCUGUCGUUGCCCAUCUAGAGUGAAGCGAUUUGGCGCUGUCCGCCGAGUCCUCCACCGCGCCCCGCAUUCGCUCACGUUUUUGUGUUGCCGAAGGUGCGCGGCUCGCCCAUCAGCGCUCUCAGCACGCCCGCUCCCGGGGGACCGAGUUCACGUGCUGGACCCCGUGUGAAAGGGCUCUCUUCUGUGAGGAAAACCUGUGCGUAUACCUCUCUUCUCUUUCUGCGACGUGACGUCAUGGCGCAUGGUGCUGAAGAAUGCAUCAUGGCAGCGCCAGGCUGUGUCUACCUUACUCCUGAGCAGGAGGAGCAGCUCGUGGAUCGCCUCUACACGCAGUCCCUGCUGCACAAGGAGGCUACCAUGGCAGAGUUGGAUGCGCGCUACUACCCUGUGGCCGCCUCGCAGGCCAUCUCCCAGGAGAUGCUGCAGAAGAGUGUGCAGCGCCAGGUAGAUGUUGAAAUGGAACGGCGACAGCAGCGCCGGAAGGAGAUGGACGCCAUGGCGGUUGCCGAGGCGACGGGUCACGCAAACGGCAGCCGUGUCGCCGCUUCCAAGAAAACGAUGACACUGGAACAGACGGACGUCAGCGUUCGGCGCCUCUACGACGACACACUCGCGCGCAAGAAGGCGAGAAAGGCGGAGAGCGAGCGCCUCUACGCGUUUCACCCAGAGGACCUCAAGUCGGCCAAGCUGUCGAAAGCGGCGCUGCAAGAGUCCGUCAACCGCAUGAGCAAGCCGAAGAAGACGGAGUUCACGAUGGCGGAGGUGAACAAGAUCUAUGACCUGUGAGCCUUCACCGCCCUUUAUCGUGCCCCUCAUGUAGCCCCUGUGCCGGCGACGAUGCGUGUGUGUCUCAGCAAGUGCUCAAUCAGGCUCACACCGCCGUGCUCAGUGUUCUUUGUUUCUCGUGUGCGAGCCUUGUCCGUUUCCUUGCGCGCCUCCCGAUGCCCUUGCACCCACGUGGGAUGUACGCUACCUCGUUCUCUUGUGUCUGAGCCCGUUGUAUUCUCUGCUGCCGGGCUGCCUGUCAUCUUCCCAAACCCUUCCAGCAUCUUUUUCUUCGUCUUUGCCUCCUCUUCUUCCCUCCACGUGUGUUGGAGAUGUGACAGGUGCACCAGUUCCGCUCGCGCGCGGUCACGCGGCGGCUCGGCUCCUUUUUUUUGGGAGGGGGGGUGAGCAUGGGGCGGCAUAACAACACGAGAUGCACCAUCAUAGUGGAUCAUACUAGUGAGGUCACCGCGUCCUCCGGUGAGCCCCCAUCUCCGGUCAGCGGCUGGCUCUUUCUUUCAGCACGCAUUGCUUGGCUUCAUUCUCUCUGUCGGGAAGGUCCAAGAUUUGACGGCGCGUCCCUUGCCACCGAGACUGGCAUGGUCUGAGUUCCGUUGUUUUGUCCGUGCUGCAGGGAACACGCCGCCCCACGCCGUCUGCUCACGUCGCCGCUAUUAAACAUCCUCUUCUUUCUCAUUCUGCUCUGUCUUCGCUUAUUGGCUGUCUCGUGACCAG
rnacentral:misc_RNA from 1 species